ACAGGGAUUGCCUCAGUAACGGCGAGUGAAGCGGCAACAGCUCAAAUUUGAAAUCUGGCCUCUUUCGGGGUCCGAGUUGUAAUUUGGAGAGGAUGUUUCGGGUACGGUCCGGGCUUAAAUUUCUUGGAACAGAAUGUCACGGAGGGUGAGAAUCCCGUCUGGAGCUCGGACACGGCCUAUGUGAAACUCCUUCGACGAGUCGAGUUGUUUGGGAAUGCAGCUCUAAAUGGGUGGUAAAUUUCAUCUAAAGCUAAAUAUUGGCCAGAGACCGAUAGCGCACAAGUAGAGUGAUCGAAAGAUGAAAAGCACUUUGAAAAGAGAGUUAAACAGUACGUGAAAUUGUUGAAAGGGAAGCGCUGGCAACCAGACUUGCGCGUCGGGGUUCCCCCUUGCUUCUGCCUGGGUUACUCCCCGGCGUUCAGGCCAACAUCGGUUUUGGGGGUUGGUUAAAGGCCCUGGGAAUGUACCUACCCUCCGGGGUAGACUUAUAGCCCAGGGUGUCAUGCGACCUCCCGGGACCGAGGAACGCGCUUCGGCUCGGAUGUUGGCGUAAUGGUUGUCAGCGACCCGUCUUGAAACACGGACCAAGGAGUCUAACAUCUAUGCGAGUGUUAGGGUGUCAAACCCUUACGCGGAAUGAAAGUGAACGGAGGUAGGAAGCCUUUAGGCUGCACUAUCGACCGAUCCUGAAGUUUACGGAUGGAUUUGAGUAAGAGCAUAGCUGUUGGGACCCGAAAGAUGGUGAACUAUGCCUGAAUAGGGUGAAGCCAGAGGAAACUCUGGUGGAGGCUCGCAGCGGUUCUGACGUGCAAAUCGAUCGUCAAAUUUGGGUAUAGGGGCGAAAGACUAAUCGAGCCAUCCUUGGC
rnacentral:rRNA from 1 species